rfam:Brachypodium distachyon strain Bd21 chromosome 2, whole genome shotgun sequence.
CUUGUACUCCCUCCGUCCAACAAAAGAUGUCUUAACUUUGACUAAAUUUGAAUGCAUCAAUACACUAAGUCAUGUCUAGAUACAUUCAAAUUUGAACAAACUUGAAACAUCUUUUGUUAGACGGAGAGAGUAUUAA